rnacentral:rRNA from 1 species
UACGUAGGUGGCAAGCGUUGUCCGGAAUUAUUGGGCGUAAAGCGCGCGCAGGCGGUCCUUUAAGUCAGGGGUGAAAUCCUGGAGCUCAACUCCAGAACUGCCUUUGAUACUGAGGAUCUUGAGUACGGGAGAGGUGAGUGGAACUGCGAGUGUAGAGGUGAAAUUCGUAGAUAUUCGCAAGAACACCAGUGGCGAAGGCGGCUCACUGGCCCGUAACUGACGCUGAGGCACGAAAGCGUGGGGAGCAAACGGG